UACGAAGGGGGCUAGCGUUGCUCGGAAUCACUGGGCGUAAAGGGUGCGUAGGUGGGUCUUUAAGUCAGGGGUGAAAUCCUGGAGCUCAACUCCAGAACUGCCUUUGAUACUGAAGAUCUUGAGUUCGGGAGAGGUGAGUGGAACUGCGAGUGUAGAGGUGAAAUUCGUAGAUAUUCGGAAGAACACCAGUGGCGAAGGCGACUUACUGGACACAUAUUGACGCUGAGGUGCGAAAGCGUGGGGAGCAAACAGG
rnacentral:rRNA from 1 species